rnacentral:lncRNA from 1 species
UGACUGUUUUAUGGAAUAUUUGUUAAUUAUGCUAGUAUAAAAUAGAGAGAACACACACAAACCAGUUUGAGGCUUGAAAUGCAUAACAAUUAUUCUGAGAAAAGAGCAAGGUUGGACGUUAAUGGUUCUUAACUGCAACCAUUAGCCUACUUUGAAUCCCCAAAUCUGUGACAAUAUGUUUAUCUUCAAUGCACAUCCACUGCUUGAAAAUGUGUUUAUCGUUAGCAAGGGCCAAUAGAAAAUGCAUCACAUGCUCACUUCUCUGUAUGCAAAUAUUUCAAAACCGGACAUUGAACCUGCUGAACUCGACAAUGAAUGCUGCAUACCUUCACUUUUAGUCAAUCUCAAAAGGUUUGAAAGUCACCUUCAAAAUUUAUACUCAUCCUCCAACUAAAUGAUGAUCGACAAGCAAUGUGAGACAGCAGACAGACCAGAACCAGGCCACAACUUCUGCACACAUAAGUGCGACGACAUUUGAGUAUUCCAUUGACGUGGAAUGACUUUACCUCCCGUUCCAUUCCGUUCCGAGAAUCGGUUUGAAUCAACGAUCAAAUCGCUACCGCUAAUUCCGGUUUUAUUUUCUCUACAUUUUUUUCCCUCUUAAUUCUAUUCUAACCGUAUCUGUGAGUGAGGCUAAAUGUUAAGUAUUCAGUGCAUGAGAAGAUGCACACAAUCAUGGAUAGUUGAGUUUGUAAAAUGGAACCCUUGAGGCCUUGACACAGGAAACUAAAUUUGUCAACUAGUACCAAAAAGCUCUAAAUAUUUAUUAGAUCAAAUUGAACAUUUUAUUUUGUUUAAGAGCCACCUUAUUCACCACAAAAAAUAUUUAUUUUUAAUCCGAGUGGCUCACAGUUCUCUGCGUUUUUGUAAGUUAAAAGUAAUUUAAUUGUGAUUUUUUGGGUUUUGAACAAAAACUAUAAUAUUCCACAAUUUGUUUAUGUGCUUAAGUAACUUUUCAGUAAACCUGGCGCAACAGCUCACAUAUCUCUUCCAAGACCAACCCGCUUACUCACUCCAGCCAUAUGGAGAUCCAGCAAAGAAAACUUCCACUCCUCAGCCGAUUUUUCCGGUGUCGUACCAAAUAAGAUCGCUGUUCACCAUUCGGCAUUUGAAGCCACUGUUCCAUUCAUUCUGCUGGGCAGCGUCAUGGUUCCAUGAUCGCUGAAAAGGCUGCGUUUACGGCGAUGGUUUGUACACGUCCAGUUUUAGCGAUGAACACAAACAAUCAGGGUUUUCCAUUCAGGGUUCAACAGCUCUCAUACCGGUAGCAGUAGUCAACUCGAGUACAACGGCUUAAAAGAUUGUCCCACGUCUUAUGCUAGACCAUUAGCUACAGCUUGAUUAUCGCAACACUAGAUGACACUGAUGGGCGUCAACACAGCUUAGUUUCAUCCUGCUUGUAACGAGUUUGAGCUGCUUUCUACUUUCAACACAAUCUACGAUGAUGAUUUCUCAUGUCAUCGUCGGAAAAAACGUAAAAGAAGAUCGGGAGCAACUCCAGCAAUUAACGAGAACGACGUAAGCCGAGUAAGGACUCUCCGUAAGCAGCGCACCGCAAAGGAGUUUACAACUGAAUAAAAACAACAAUUGUUCUGAAUAAAGAUAAAAAAAGAUCUGCAAACGGCAUUUGAGAACUUAACUACAACUGACCAAACAGAAGAGGAAGAAAUGGAGUUUCUGAACGUAAUGGGGGAUCUAAAUAAUUGGAUUUUUAAUUGCGUAAGCUUCUAAGAGUGCGGGAUGAACUUGAUCUUCGCGCAACAAGGCUGUUCUGUAGCGGACUCCAUCUUGCGCCUCUUCCUCAAAAAUUGCCCAAUUUUGUUCUUCUGCGCAUUUCUAAAUUGCCAAUGAUAAAUGAGUGUAAUAAAGAUGUAUAUAAAUAUUAUUUGAAAAAAAA